CGAGUACGACCCGUUACGACGGGGAAGUGUCUGAUGUCAGGCUUCCAAGAAAAGCCCGAACCACGUUAAUUCAAAUUGGCCCGUACCCUAAACCGACACAGGUGGGAAGGUAGAGUAUACCCAGGGGCGCGAGAUAACUCUCUCUAAGGAACUCGGCAAAAUGGCCCCGUAACUUCGGGAGAAGGGGUGCCACCGAGAGGUGGUCGCAGUGAAGAGUCCCAGGCGACUGUUUACCAAAAACACAGGUCUCCGCUAAGUCGCAAGACGAUGUAUGGGGGCUGACGCCUGCCCAGUGCCGGAAGGUUAAGGAAGUUGGUCAGGGAGCAAUCCUGAAGCUAGCGACUGAAGCCCCGGUGAACGGCGGCCGUAACUAUAACGGUCCUAAGGUAGCGAAAUUCCUUGUCGGGUAAGUUCCGACCCGCACGAAAGGCGUAACGAUCUGGGAGCUGUCUCGGAGAGAGGCUCGGCGAAAUAGGAAUGUCUGUGAAGAUACGGACUACCUGCACCCGGACAGAAAGACCCUAUGAAGCUUUACUGUAGCUUGGUAUUGGGUUCGGGCUUUGAUUGCGCAGGAUAGGUGGGAGACUAUGAGAUAGCUCUUGUGGGAGUUAUGGAGUCACUGGUGAGAUACCACUCUAUCAAGGCUAGAAUUCUAACUUUGACCCGUUAUCCGGGCAGAGAACAGUAUCAGGUGGGCAGUUUGACUGGGGCGGUCGCCUCCUAAAUGGUACGGAGGCGCGCAAAGGUUCCCUCAGGCUGGUUGGAAAUCAGCCAUUGAGUGUAAAGGCAUAAGGGAGCUUGACUGCGAGACUGACAAGUCGAGCAGGUACGAAAGUAGGCCUUAGUGAUCCGACGGUUCCGCGUGGAAGGGCCGUCGCUCAACGGAUAAAAGUUACUCUAAGGAUAACAGGCUGAUCUCCCCCAAGAGUUCACAUCGACGGGGAGGUUUGGCACCUCGAUGUCGGCUCAUCGCAACCUGGGGCUGUAGUCGGUCCCAAGGGUUGGGCUGUUCGCCCAUUAAAGCGGUACGUGAGCUGGGUUCAGAACGUCGUGAGACAGUUCGGUCCAUAUCCGGUGCAGGCGUAGGAACAUUGAGAGGAGUCUUCCUUAGUACGAGAGGACCGGGAAGAACGCACCGCUGGUGUACCUGUUAUCGUGCCAACGGUAAACGCAGGGUAGCCAAGUGCGGAGAGGAUAACCGCUGAAAGCAUCUAAGUGGGAAGCCCACCUCAAGAUGAGUGUUCCCAUGGCAAAAGCCAGUAAGGUCACGGGUAGACCACCCGUUAAUAGGCGCUAGAUGGAAGUCCAGCAAUGGAUGUAGUCGAGGCGUACUAACAGACCGAGGGCUUGAC
rnacentral:rRNA from 1 species